GGUCAGCUCAUCAAAGCAGAACAGGGUUGUUAGCUAGCAUUCCUCUUUCAGAGAAGGUUAUAUUAAGAAGGCGUGGCUCAGGGAGGGGGUUAUUGGCCCUGGCUGGCCCCAGUCAGAAAGUUGUGGGGAGUUUGCUAGAGCAGGCAGAUGCCUGCCAGGGUCAGGGAGAGCUUUCUGAGAGGGUGGUGAGAGACUGGGGAGGUGGGAGAGGGGUAGCUGUGAAAGGAAAAUGUGUGGAGGUGACAUGUCUGUAGGUUAGGCCAGGCCAGAAGAGAAGGUGAGAGGGAAGUGAGUGUUCCAGUCAGCCUUGCUGUCUUGGGGAAGAUCCUGGGGUCCAGCCCACUGCCCCCUCCUCUCCGUCUCUCCUGCUCCCUGGGCUGAGGGAACGGAAGGAGCUGUGCCACCGUGAGGAGGAGGACCUCUAUAUGUGAGGGACCUGCUGGGGCUGGCUGCUGGGGAGUCCAGCUUUCUCUCAGUGGCUGAAGGGGACUAUUUCUUUCCCAAGGGGCAGCUGCCAUGCCACCACAGGAAAACCUGGCUUGCCGUUUUGGAUACUUGGAUUUUCCCACAGUGUGAGGGGGCUGGGAGUGUGGCCCAGGAAGGUGCACCUGAGGUGGGAGAAGAAAGAAGGAGACUGGUUGGGAGUCAGCUGAAUUGGGGGCCGCAGAGGCUGGGGUGGGAGGGACGGAAGGAUGUGUCAAAGCCCAGCCUCCCAAAGCUGAGCAAGAAGAGCAUGAUGGGAGGGUGUUUCCUGCCUCCUCGCCCACUCCAGUGCAAGGUCCUGUCUCCAUCCAAAUGCUGCAAGCACCACCUUUGGAGAUCUGAGCAUUUUCAGGAAUGAACUCUGGGAAUGAAUCUCAAAGCUCAGCAAGGCAUCUGGCUCCUUGACUCAAGACUACACUUCCCAGCUUCCUGUGAGAGUCUUUAAGCUCUGGCUUCAUUUUGAGGAAAUCAUUGACUACGCAUUGCUGGCAUGGCUCAUGGAAGGAAAUCAUCUUGGAUUCUAAUCAGCAAAACCAAAGGCCCAGACUUACAUCAAAAGAUUGACCUAUAUUCACGCGCAUUUAGCUAUUUUAAGUGGAAACUCAAUGUUUAAAGUAAAUAUGUAUCAUUUUUUAUGAUG